UUUAACGGCCGCGGUACCCUAACCGUGCGAAGGUAGCAUAAUCACUUGUUCUUUAAAUGAGGACUUGUAUCAACGGCAUCACGAGGGUUAAACUGUCUCCUUUUUCAUAUCAGUGAAACUAAUCUCCCCGUGAAGAAGCGGGGAUAAUUCUAUAAGACGAGAAGACCCCAUGGAGCUUUAAACCCAACUACACCCCUUUUUGACUUUACUUUUUAACUCCUAGGAUUUUGUAUGUUCUGGUUUUAGGUUGGGGUGACCGCGGAGCAUAAAUUAGCCUCCACAAUGAAUAGACCUUCUCUUUAUCUAAGACUUACACCUCUAAGAAUUAGUAUUCUAACAUAAAAUGAUCCGAUAUUCGAUCAACGAACCAAGUUACCCUGGGGAUAACAGCGCAAUCUACUUCAAGAGCCCCUAUCGACAAGUGGGUUUACGACCUCGAUGUUGGAUCAGGGUAUCCUAGUGGUGCAGCAGCUACUAAAGGUUCGUUUGUUCAACGAUUAAAACCC
rnacentral:rRNA from 1 species